rnacentral:rRNA from 1 species
UUUAGUAGACUCCAAAAUGCUCUGAAAGUACUAGAUCCAGUCCAAUCUUGGAAGCUAAGCAGGAUCAGCUCUGGUUAGUACUUAGAUGGGAGACCAUUAGUGAAUGCCAGAUACUGCAAUAU